UCCUGGAAGAAAAAAAAGAAGAAGAAAAACCUCUGGAUUUGCUUUUACAACCCAAUUAAAGUCCGGCUAUAAAUCAACGAGGCUUUCCCUCCCCGUUCGGCUCCUCCGAUACACUUUAGCAUGCCUGAAGGCUGCGAUCCACUAUCUCCAGGACUGCUUUGCAGCAGGGCCUGAUUUGUCUGAUGCCAGUGUUUACAGGCAGGGAUGUGCAACUACUCCACGUUUACAACACUGAGAUUUACCCACAAGAAUAAUAACCUGAAAUACUCACCUGUAGUAAGAGCAUUGAACGUGAAAUGUGGAAGGUUUUCGUAGCUGGGCUGAGAGACCAUUAAUGGGGCCACCAUUAAGAAUGGGUCAUGGGGAAACCUGGAGUCUAUCCCAGGGAGCAUCGGGCACAAGGCGGGGCACACCCUGGACAGGGUGCCAAUCCAUCGCAGGGCAUCAUUUUAAUCCAAUCCGAGGCCCAGCCCAAGCCCAGACUUAAACCCCAUCAAACACCUGUGGAGAGAUCUAAAGAUGGCAAUUCAUAGAUGCUUGCCACCCAAUCUGAUGGAACUCGAGAGGAUCUGCCAUGAAGAAUGGGAUAAACUGUGCAAAUCCAGGUGUGCAAAGCAUGUAUUCAAAUACGUACCCAAGAAGAAUUGUACCUGUAAUUGCUGCCAAAGGAGCUUCUACAAAGAACCGAGUAAAGGGUCUGAAUACUUAUAAUAAUAGAUUUCAGGAUUUUUUUUUCUUUACCUGGAAAUCUCUAAAAACAUGU